UGGCUGUCGUCAGCUCGUGUCGUGAGAUGUUGGGUUAAGUCCGUAACGAGCGCAACCCUUGUCCUUAGUUACCAGCACGUUAUGGUGGGCACUCUAAGGAGGAACUGCCGGUGGCAAACCGGAGGAAGUGGGGAUGACGUCAAGUCAUCAUGGCCCUUACGGCCUGGGCUACACACGUGCUACAAUGGUCGGUACAAAGGGUUGCCAAGCCGCGAGGUGGAGCUAAUCCCAUAAAACCGAUCGUAGUCCGGAUCGCAGUCUGCAACUCGACUGCGUGAAGUCGGAAUCGCUAGUAAUCGUGAAUCAGAAUGUCACGGUGAAUACGUUCCCGGGCCUU
rnacentral:rRNA from 1 species